rnacentral:rRNA from 1 species
CCCUUAGAUGUUCUGGGCCGCGCGCGCGCUACACUGAUGCAUUCAACGAGUCUAAAACCUGCUCUGAUAGGGGUGGGUAAUCUUUUGAAUGUGCAUCGUGAUUGGGAUAGAUGAUUGCAAUUUUUCAUCUUCAACGAGGAAUGCCUAGUAAACGCAAGUCAUCAGCUUGCAUUGAUUACGUCCCUGCCCUUUGUACACACCGCCCGUCGCUCCUACCGAUUGAAUGAUCCGAUGAAUAUCAUGGAUUGAGGAUGCAAGCAGGUUCGCCUGUCUUCAUCUUCGAGAAGUGAAGUAAAUCUUAUCAUUUAGAGGAAGGAGAAGUCGUAACA